rnacentral:rRNA from 1 species
GAUGAACGCUGGCGGCGUGCUUAACACAUGCAAGUCGAGCGAAGCACUUAAGUCUGAUUCUUCGGAUGAAGACUUUUGUGACUGAGCGGCGGACGGGUGAGUAACGCGUGGGUAACCUGCCUCAUACAGGGGGAUAACAGUUAGAAAUGACUGCUAAUACCGCAUAAGACCACGGUACCGCAUGGUACAGUGGUAAAAACUCCGGUGGUAUGAGAUGGACCCGCGUCUGAUUAGGUAGUUGGUGGGGUAACGGCCUACCAAGCCGACGAUCAGGAGCCGACCUGAGAGGGUGACCGGCCACAUUGGGACUGAGACACGGCCCAGACUCCUACGGGAGGCAGCAGUGGGGAAUAUUGCACAAUGGAGGAAACUCUGAUGCAGCGACGCCGCGUGAAGGAUGAAGUAUUUCGGAUUGUAAACCUCUGUUGUACGGGAAGAAGUAGAUGACGGUACCGUACGAGUAAGCCCCGGCAAACUACGUGCCAGCAGCCGCCGUAA